CUGGUGGUUCACCCUUGAGGUGAGGCAAGAGGGAACCCGGUGUGAGUCCGGGACUGCCCCGCAGCGGUGAGCGGGAACGAAGACCGUCAUGAGCACUGGGUCCGCCCCUGACAAGACCUGGGAAGCGAUGGUUGCGUAGGGGGCCCGCGAGUCCGAAUACCUGCCACCGGU
rnacentral:ncRNA from 1 species